GCGGAAGUGGCGUAAUUGGUAGACGCACCAGAUUUAGGUUCUGGCGCCGCAAGGUGUGAGAGUUCAAGUCUCUCCUUCCGCACCA
rnacentral:tRNA from 1 species